GAUGAACGCUAGCGAUAGGCUUAACACAUGCAAGUCGAGGGGCAGCACAAGGUAGCUUGCUAUCUGGGUGGCGACCGGCGCACGGGUGCGUAACGCGUAUGCAACUUGCCCUAUACAGGAGGAUAACCCGUCGAAAGACGGACUAAUACUGCGUAUGCUCACAACUUGGCAUCAAGUGGUGAGGAAAGAAAUUCGGUAUAGGAUAGGCAUGCGUCCCAUUAGCUUGUUGGUGAGGUAACGGCUCACCAAGGCAACGAUGGGUAGGGGAACUGAGAGGUUUAUCCCCCACACUGGUACUGAGACACGGACCAGACUCCUACUGGAGGCAGCAGUGAGGAAUAUUGGUCAAUGGGCGCGAGCCUGAACCAGCCAAGUCGCGUGAAGGAUGACUGUCUUAUGGAUUGUAAACUUCUUUUAUACGGGAAUAACAAGAGUCACGUGUGACUCCCUGCAUGUACCGUAUGAAUAAGCAUCGGCUAACUCCGUG
rnacentral:rRNA from 1 species